GACAGAGGAUGCAAGCGUUAUCCGGAAUGAUUGGGCGUAAAGCGUCUGUAGGUGGCUUUUCAAGUCCGCCGUCAAAUCCCAGGGCUCAACCCUGGACAGGCGGUGGAAACUACCAAGCUGGAGUACGGUAGGGGGCAGAGGGAAUUUCCGGGUGGAGCGGUGAAAUGCGCAGAGUAUCGGGAAGAACACCCGUGGCGAAGGCGGCUCUCUGGGACGGUACUGGACGCUGAGACGCGAAAGCGUGGGGGAGCGAACAGG
rnacentral:rRNA from 1 species